rnacentral:rRNA from 1 species
GGCGAACGGGUGAGUAAUGCAUCGGAACAUGUCCAUGUCGUGGGGGAUAGCCCGGCGAAAGCCGGAUUAAUACCGCAUACGCCCGAGAGGGGAAAGCCGGGGACCGCAAGGCCUGGCGCGAUUGGGUUGGCCGAUGUCCGAUUAGCUAGUUGGUGGGGUAAAGGCUUACCAAGGCGAUGAUCGGUAGCUGGUCUGGGAGGAUGAUCAGCCACACUGGGACUGAGACACGGCCCAGACUCCUACGGGAGGCAGCAGUGGGGAAUUUUGGACAAUGGGGGCAACCCUGAUCCAGCCAUUCCGCGUGAGUGAAGAAGGCCUUCGGGUUGUAAAGCUCUUUUGUCCGGAACGAAACGGGGGUGGUGAAUAGCCGCUCUCACUGACGGUACCGGAAGAAUAAGCACCGGCUAACUACGUGCCAGCAGCCGCGGUAAUACGUAGGGUGCGAGCGUUAAUCGGAAUUACUGGGCGUAAAGCGUGCGCAGGCGGUUGUGUAAGCCAGAUGUGAAAUCCCCGGGCUUAACCUGGGAAUGGCAUUUGGGACUGCACGGCUGGAGUAUGGCAGAGGGGACUAGAAUUCC